rnacentral:rRNA from 1 species
CAGUAGCCGCGGUAACACAGAGGGUGCGAGCGUUAAUCGGAUUUACUGGGCGUAAAGCGUGCGUAGGCGGCUUCUUAAGUCGGAUGUGAAAUCCCUGAGCUUAACUUAGGAAUUGCAUUCGAUACUGGGAAGCUAGAGUAUGGGAGAGGAUGGUAGAAUUCCAGGUGUAGCGGUGAAAUGCGUAGAGAUCUGGAGGAAUACCGAUGGCGAAGGCAGCCAUCUGGCCUAAUACUGACGCUGAGGUACGAAAGCAUGGGGAGCAAACAGGAUUAGAUACCCCCGUAGUCCCUGUCUCUUAUAA